UAGUCCGCACCGUAAACGAUGAUCACUAGACGUUGGCGAUAUAAUGUCAGUGUUUAAGAGAAAUCAUUAAGUGAUCCACCUGGGGAGUACGUUCGCAAGAAUGAAACUCAAAGGAAUUGACGGGGGCCCGCACAAGCGGAGGAACAUGUGGUUUAAUUCGAUGAUACGCGAGGAACCUUACCAAGGCUUAAAUGUAGAUUGACAGAUUGUGAAAACAAUUUUUCUUCGGACAAUUUACAAGGUGCUGCAUGGUUGUCGUCAGCUCGUGCCGUGAGGUGUCGGGUUAAGUCCCAUAACGAGCGCAACCCCUAUUUUUAGUUACCAGCGAGUAAUGUCGGGAACUCUAGAAAGACUGCCUGUGUAAACAGUGAGGAAGGUGGGGAUGACGUCAAAUCAUCACGGCCCUUAUGUCUUGGGCUACACACGUGUUACAAUGGUUACUACAGUGGGCUGCCAUCUGGCAACAGAGAGCAAAUCCAUAAAGGUAAUCCCAGUUCGGAUCGGAGUCUGCAA
rnacentral:rRNA from 1 species